rnacentral:tRNA from 1 species
CGUAGCUCAAUUGGAUAGAGCGUCAGACUCCGACUCUGAAGGUUGAAGGUUCAAGUCCUUUCGG